rnacentral:rRNA from 1 species
GAUGAACGCUGGCGGCGUGCCUAAUACAUGCAGGUCGAACGCUGGAAAUCUAGCUUGCUAGAUUGAAGGAGUGGCGAACGGGUGAGUAAUACAUAAGCAACCUACCCACGAAGACUGGGAUAAUCUCUGGAAACGGGGACUAAUACCGGAUAGGUAAUCGGAAGGCAUCUUCUGAUUAUUAAAGGUUAAAAACACUGGUGGAUGGGCUUAUGGCGCAUUAGUUAGUUGGUGAGGUAACGGCCCACCAAGACGAUGAUGCGUAGCCGGCCUGAGAGGGUGAACGGCCACAUUGGGACUGAGACACGGCCCAGACUCCUACGGGAGGCAGCAGUAGGGAAUUUUCGGCAAUGGGGGAAACCCUGACCGAGCAACGCCGCGUGAGUGAUGACGGCCUUCGGGUUGUAAAGCUCUGUUGUAAGGGAAGAACGGUAGAUAGAGAAUAUCUAAAUGACGGUACCUUACCAGAAAGCCACGGCUAACUACGUG